ACACACACACACACACACACACACACACACACAUGCACAGGUUUUACAAGUAAUCUGCAAAUAAAAAUAAUAUUAUUUCUCCACUCCCAGACCAAGACAGGAAAAAUGAUGGUACACAGCAAUUUAAUAAACUCCAUCAACAGAGAGGAUCACCAGAGAAGUACAAAUGGUGUGGAGCCUUCUUGGCUGCAGGAUGUUUUCAGCCCUGGAUCCCUUCACUGUGAAGACUGGUGCAGGCUGUUGGACUUAGUAGUAACUGUGAGU